AUUAUUGACUAAUUAUAAUACAGGUUCUUUGCCUUACAGUCAUCUAAUGAAAAACCAAAAUGCCCAGAUCUACCAGCAUUCCCGUCGUGUCUGUCCACAGUCCACUUUGUGAUAUUUAUAGUGGUGCAGACGGUGUUGUUCAUUGGCUACAUCAUGUACAGGACUCAGCAAGAAGCAGCUGCCAAAAAAUUCUUCUGACCUUCAUUUUCCUAUGUCUGGGCUAGACUUUCGCUGGCUUCAAGACAAUUUACCUCUUAUUAAAGUAAUGGUCUCGUUUGCUUUGGGAUCCAGAACAACACUGUU
rnacentral:lncRNA from 1 species